ACGGGAGGCAGCAGUGGGGAAUUUUGCGCAAUGGGGGGAACCCUGACGCAGCAACGCCGCGUGCGGGAUGGAGGCCUUCGGGUUGUAAACCGCUUUCAGCAGGGACGAUUAUGACGGUACCUGCAGAAGAAGCUCCGGCUAACUACGUGCCAGCAGCCGCGGUAAUACGUAGGGAGCGAGCGUUAUCCGGAUUCAUUGGGCGUAAAGCGCGCGUAGGCGGCUGCCUAAGCGAAGCCUCUAAUCCGAGGGCUCAACCCCCGGCCGGGCUUCGAACUGGGCGGCUCGAGUGCGGUAGGGGCAGGCGGAAUUCCCGGUGUAGCGGUGGAAUGCGCAGAUAUCGGGAAGAACACCGAUGGCGAAGGCAGCCUGCUGGGCCGUUACUGACGCUGAGGCGCGAAAGCUGGGGGAGCGAACAGGAUUAGAUACCCUGGUA
rnacentral:rRNA from 1 species